UGUAUAAAUAAUAUAGAAGGCGUGUGUGUGUUACACACUUCAUAAAAUCUUACUAUAAAUAAAUCUAUACAUAUGUAUAUAUCUAUAUAUAUUUAUGUAUGAGCUAAAAGCAACUUAUCCCCAAUUUAUGUUACCUAUUGGGUUAUGACAACGCACUGCUAAAACACAAAUAAAACGUAAAGUUUUCAAAUAUGGAGAAAUCCAAACGUAAAAAAUCCCUCGCCUAUGAACACACAGAUUACCACACUACAUAUGAUAGUGAUGCUGACAUCAAUAACACGAAUGCAUUUAAUAAUAAGAACGUUAUGAGUGACAUAGAAGGUGAUUUAUUACCACAUGAAGUUUUGUAUAAGAUUAAUAGUGCAUUUGAUAAUAUGACAGCAAAGAAAAAGAAUCGCACAGACAAGAUAAAAAUAAGUAAAAAAAUAUUUUUAAAAAAUGAUAUGUUAAAUAAUGUGCUAAAUAGUUCUCAAAAAAUGAAAAAUAUACAUAAUAAUCUAUUUAAUGUAAAUGCCAAUGAUUUUGUGCCGGUUACGCCCCCAGAAGUAUAUAAAAGUAAUAUCCCCCCGAGACCUCAUCAUUAUAAUAACACUCCUGUGGACAUAGACGAAUAUAACAAAUUAAAAGAGAACGCAAAUAAAUUUACAAACGAUAUUUUAAAUCAGAAGGGAUAUACUUAUAACGCAAACUUUGUUGUAGAUUCGAAUACUAAAAAGAACAAAAAUAUAGAGAAUAGUGAAGAAAAUAAUAACAAUAUUCGAUCUAUGAUAAAGCCAAGUACUUCUGCAAUAGGAGAAAUUAAAGUUAAUAUAGAUGAUAUAAAAUCUGGUUUAUUAUCAUAUUACUCCAAUAUUUUUUCACUAGAUCAUUAUGAUAUAGAAAGUAGACUUAAUAUUUUAAAAUAUGGUGAUAAAUGUAUUUCUGAUAGUUUGAAUGUAAGAUAUACAUAUUCCAAACAAAAUAGAGAUUCUAAUGCAAUUCCUUUAAUCUAUAAAAACGAUAAUAUAA
rnacentral:lncRNA from 1 species